AGCUUCUUGGCCUGGCUGGAGAUGGAGCCCUCUUCACUGAACCUCACCGACUUCUGCUUGGGGAGCUUGUCGGCGAUGGCGUCCAUGAUGCCGCUUACCAUGUUCUCCGCCGCGUUCUCUGAGUGCUCCGGCAUCGUCCCCCGCCCUGAAGAAUACAGUUGUUAGACGAGCAAAUCCUGUUCUUUAAGCAUGGAAAAGGUAAAGCAAGGUGCUGCAUAUCCCGAUAAUUUACAGGCAGCAACCAAGAAGAAGAGGGGAAAAGAUACAAGCUACAAAGAAAGAUGAACUCACCGAGCAAAAAUCAGUAGAUUAAUUAAAGUUGCUGAUCUCCUGACGAUGAACCCAAGAGGCAGGAAUUGGCGUGGUAGUCGAUUAGAGAAGACGGGAAAGCUGGGGAAAGUUGGGAGGAAAAGUGCAAUUUCUUCUCAUUUCACUUUUGGUGGAGGAAGAAGAGCAAUUAGUAUAUUGUUGAAUGAAAGGGAUAGGUGGGCCAGUAGUCUUGCUCGUAAUUGGGCUGUGACCCACUGCCUUAUUGGAGCAAUAAGUGUGAUCCAUUUUGUUUGUCCACAUUAGCUUGGAAAUUCCCUGAACUAAAAGAACUUGAAAUACUCUUUGCCUGCUUCAUGCUCACAGUUUUUAUUUGGU